UAUUGAUGCUAAAACUCCAAGUUCCUUUUCCUCAAUGAUUGCUAUUGUACUCUAGGUUGCUGCCAUUGCAGUCAUGUGUGUGCAGCCGGAAGCAGAUUAUCGCCCACUAAUGACAGAUGUCGUUCAGUCCCUAAUCCCUCUUGUUAAGAACAAUAGCUGCAUUACUUCCUCCGGUUCCUCCAGAUUUCAGCCUCCAGCAACGAGUCCCAGAUAUUAGGUUCACCUUUGGUAUACUGCAGCAAGAUGAUAAUAUGCGGUGCUAGUUCUUCGUCAAAGUGGAACAAGCCAAGAAGAUCAUUCUGCAAAAAUUUCACUGUAAACAAUAAGAAGUAUAUUCACCAAUUUGCUGCCUGGAGUUUUUUUUUGGUUUUUCUCUUGAAAUCCCUGCAUGGUUUCGAGAAGCCUUCAUUUGAGCAUAGAAAGUGACACUGGUAGUGAAUGCGCCACCAGUUAGGACGACUGGAAAAAGCCAUUUUAAAGGUGGAAACAGUGAUAGGAGCAAUGAAUGUAUAGGGACAAGCAUCUUCCAGGACUGCAAAAGAAGGUAAUUUCUUGUAAUGUUAGUAAACAAGAUUAUAGAUAUGUUGUAAAGAGGUUAACUGAUUCCAUUUUGUAAUAUUACACCAUUUUGAAAAUCUAGAAACUAUUUUCAGACU